GCGGACUGAACCGGGGGNAUCCGAUUCUUGGUCAUUUAGAGGAAGUAAAAGUCGUAACAAGGUAACCGUAGGUGAACCUGCGGUUGGAUCAUUAACAAUGAGCAACCGGGAUGUGGUUGAGGCGCAAGCUUCCUACAUCUCAUACACACAUGUGCACUGGACUGUAUUUCGGGCUGUACUUGUAUGGCCCGGCAGAUAACAAACCCUUUUAAUUAGACUGAGUUUUUUAGAAAUAAAAAAUAAACAACUUUAGACAACGGAUCUCUUGGCUCUCGCAACGAUGAAGAACGCAGCGAAAUGCGAUACGUAAUGUGAAUUGCAAAUUUCCGUGAAUCAUCGAAUCUUUGAACGCAUAUUGCACUCUAUUUCGGUAGAGUAUGCCUGUUUGAGAAUCUAUAGUAUUUAUUCUGGGAAUUCUCUGAAUUCUUGGAGAUUUGAGGCGUCUCUUUCGCGAGAGUGCCUUUAAAGCUAUAGCCGGCUGACGUGCACAGGUGCCUGACGCUUUGUAUGUCUUUCGAAAAGUAUUUGAAUGAACGCAUGUUCUUGAAUGCCACAUAGAUGGACGCAGAGAAUAGCUUGUGCAGACAGACGGUCCAUAAACUAAAGCUUCGGCUUGAACAAUGGUCUCAAAUCAGGUAGGAGGACCCGCUGAACUUAAGCAUAUCAAUAAGCGGAGGA
rnacentral:rRNA from 1 species